rnacentral:rRNA from 1 species
UGCAAGUCGAGCGGACAGAUGGGAGCUUGCUCCCUGAUGUUAGCGGCGGACGGGUGAGUAACACGUGGGUAACCUGCCUGUAAGACUGGGAUAACUCCGGGAAACCGGGGCUAAUACCGGAUGCUUGUUUGAACCGCAUGGUUCAAACAUAAAAGGUGGCUUCGGCUACCACUUACAGAUGGACCCGCGGCGCAUUAGCUAGUUGGUGAGGUAACGGCUCACCAAGGCGACGAUGCGUAGCCGACCUGAGAGGGUGAUCGGCCACACUGGGACUGAGACACGGCCCAGACUCCUACGGGAGGCAGCAGUAGGGAAUCUUCCGCAAUGGACGAAAGUCUGACGGAGCAACGCCGCGUGAGUGAUGAAGGUUUUCGGAUCGUAAAGCUCUGUUGUUAGGGAAGAACAAGUGCCGUUCAAAUAGGGCGGCACCUUGACGGUACCUAACCAGAAAGCCACGGCUAACUACGUGCCAGCAGCCGCGGUAAUACGUAGGUGGCAAGCGUUGUCCGGAAUUAUUGGGCGUAAAGGGCUCGCAGGCGGUUUCUUAAGUCUGAUGUGAAAGCCCCCGGCUCAACCGGGGAGGGUCAUUGGAAACUGGGGAACUUGAGUGCAGAAGAGGAGAGUGGAAUUCCACGUGUAGCGGUGAAAUGCGUAGAGAUGUGGAGGAACACCAGUGGCGAAGGCGACUCUCUGGUCUGUAACUGACGCUGAGGAGCGAAAGCGUGGGGAGCGAACAGGAUUAGAUACCCUGGUAGUCCACGCCGUAAACGAUGAGUGCUAAGUGUUAGGGGGUUUCCGCCCCUUAGUGCUGCAGCUAACGCAUUAAGCACUCCGCCUGGGGAGUACGGUCGCAAGACUGAAACUCAAA